rnacentral:tRNA from 1 species
GGGCCCGUAGCUCAGCCUGGUAGAGCGCUAGCCUUUUAAGCUAGCUGUCCCGGGUUCGAAUCCCGGCGGGCUCG